rnacentral:lncRNA from 1 species
AGAUGUAAAACCCUCCUCCGUUGCCCUCGUGGGGUCUAAAAAUGAGAGCUGCGUGAGGGUUAAGGCCAAAAUGGCCACCUUCUGUGUACGUCCCAAAAUGUUCUAAGUCCUUUAAAAACGCCACAUUCAGGCAAGUGAAUGCAACGGCAUGGCUUGCCAAGCUUAAAAGAGCUCCUGUCACUCUCUGCUCUCGCUUACGGCCAUACCACCCUGAGCACGCCCGAUCUCGUCUGAUCUCGGAGGAUAAGCAAGGUCGGGCCUGGUUAGUACUUGGAUGGUAGACCGCCUGGGAAUACCAGGUGCUGUAAGCGUUAACAUUUCUCCUCAACCCUAGCAGAGCGGGCUGUUUGCGCAGGUCCACAUUAUACUGCACCGUGUUAUGGGAAGAGUGUUUUCUUUCUUAUUCUAUACAGUUAUUAUAUGAUUUCUGACCUAUCUUCUGCUAUUAAUAGCUAUUGUUUUUUAUUACUUCUGUUUUAUGUAUUUGACAUUUUACCUAGAUUGUUCAAUUAUUUGUUAACUCUAUAAUUACAUCGUUCUUAGACAACAGACGCUAUUACCUGCAAGAAUAUUCUGUUUUCAGUCACAGUGCUGCUUUUGCUUUGUUCACAGUUCAUGUCUGUGGUUGGUGACACAUUACAAGUAAUGAUUUUGGCUUCUCUCUAUUUGUUUUGUUUAAACGAAGAGCGAAACGCAAAAAAGGGGGUAUUGUGUUUAAGGCCAAAAUGGCCACCGUCUGUGUACGUCCAGAAAUGCUCUAGGUCCUUUAAAAACGCCACAUUCCGGCAAGUGGAUGCACUGGCGUGGCUUGCCAAGCUUAAAAGAGCUCCUGUCAUGCUUUGCUAUCGCUUACGGCCAUACCACCCAGAGCACGCCCGAUCUCGUCUGAUCUCGGAAGCCAAGCAGGGUCGGGCUUGGUUAGUACUUGGAUGGAAGACCACCUGGGAAUACCAGGUGCUGUGGGCUUUUACAUUUCUCCUCAACCCUAGCAGAGCGGGCUGUUUGCUCAGGUCCACAUUAUACUGCACCGUGUUAUGGGAAAAGUUUUUUCUUUCUUAUUCUAUGCAGGUAUUAUGUGAUUUAUGAUCUAUCUUCUGCAAUUAAUAUCUAUUGUUUUUAUUACUUCUGUUUUAUGUAUUUGACAUUUUCACCUAGAUUGUUCAAUUAUUUGUUAACUCUAUAAUUGCAUCGUUCUUAGACAACAGACGCUAUUACCUGCAAGAAUAUUCUGUUUUCAGUCACAGUGCUGCUUUUGCUUUGUUCACAGUUCAUGCCUAUGGUCGGUGACACAUUACAAGUAAUGACUUUGGCUUCUAUCUAUUUGAUUUGUUUAAAGGGAGAGCGAAAUACAAAAAUGGGAUAUUGUGUUUAAGGCCAAAAUGGCCACCGUCUGUGUACGUCCCAAAAUGUUCUAAGUCCUUUAUAAACGCCACAUUCAGGCAAGUGGAGGCAACGGCGUGGCUUGCCAUGCUUAAAAGAGCUCCUGUCACUCUCUGCUCUAGCUUACGGCCAUACCACCCUGAGCACGCCUGAUCUCGUCUGAUCUCGGAAGCUAACCAGGGUCGGGCCUGGUUAGUACUUGGAUGGGAGACUGCCUGGGAAUACCACGUGCUGUAAGCUUUUGAAUUUCUCUUCAACCCUAGCAGAGCGGGCUGUUUGCUUAGGUCCACAUUAUACUACACCGUGUUAUGGGAAAAGUGUUUUCUUUCUUAUUGUAAGCAGUUAUUGUAUGAUUUAUGAGGUAUCUUCUGAAAUAAUAUCUUGUGUUUUUUAUUACUUUUAUUUUAUGUAUUUGACAUUUCACCUAGAUUGUUCAAUUAUUUGUUAACUCAAUAAUUGCAUCGUUCUUAGACAACAGACGCUAUUACCUGCAAAAAUAUUCUGUUUUCAGUCACAGAGCUGCUUUUGCUUUGUUCACAGUUCAUGCCUAUGGUCGGUGACACAUUACAAGUAAUGACUUUGGCUUCUCUCUAUUUGUUUGGUAUAAAAGGAGAGCGAAAUACGAAAAAGGGGAUAUUGUGUUAAAGGCCAAAAUGGCCACCUUCUGUGUACGUCCCAAAAUGUUCUAAGUCCUUUAUAAGCGCCA